rnacentral:rRNA from 1 species
UACCAAUAUGGUUGAGUUAUACGGGUUGGUUAAAAGGUGGUUAGGUGAAAGGAGGUUCAACUAGUGAUAUGGAACUAUUAAUUUGUUGGUCAUUAUUAAUUUUGUAUAAAGAUAAAAUUGUAUAUAAUAGGGAUUAAAAGAUUUGGUCAAGUUUUGAAUUGAUGCCGCUAUGAUUUUGGGGGAGACUGGGAUUAGAUACCCCAUUAUUCUUUAUUUUAAAUUGCUAUGAGUAAGAUACCUGAAUACUACGAACAAUUGUGUUUAAAAUUUAAAGGGUUUGGCGGUGUUUAUAGACUCUUUGGGGGAACCUGUCUCUUAAUCGAUAGCCCACGUUAGACCUAACUUCCUUUUGUUAUUGCAGUUUGUAUACCGUCGUCGUCGGGCAACUUUUUAGAAUUAUAAGAGUUGGCUAAUUAAUUUUUUUAUUCGUAUGUCAGAUCAGGGUGCAGCCGAUAAGGGAGUGAGGAUGGGUUACAGUUAUUUAGUUUAUAAUUACGGAGGAUAUGGUUAAAAUUUAUUUGAAGGUGGACUCGAAAGUAAAACGUUAAAAGGAUUAAUAUUAUAGAAGCGUGUUGAAUAUAGCUCUUAAAUGUGC